UAUCUUUACACAUUGAGUAUCCUUAGGGGAAUUGCUUUGGGCGGGCUUGCCUGCCCAGAGAGAAACGCAAGAUUUUAUCUUAUACAGACCUGGUCACACAAGAAUUAUAAAUCUUCAAAACUUUCAACAACGGAUCUCUUGGUUCUCGCAACGAUGAAGAACGCAGCGAAUUGCGAUAAGUAUUGUGAAUUGCAGAUUUUCGUGAAUCAUCGAAUCUUUGAACGCACAUUGCACCCUCUGGCAUUCCAGAGGGUAUGCCUGUUUGAGCGUCAUUUCUCCCUCAAGACACUAGUCUUGGUAUUGAGCGACACCGCUGCCUAGGCAGAGGUCCGCCCGAAACAGUCGUGGCUAGAGACAGUCCGGCGCAGCCGCUAGAGCUUGUGGUGAAUGUACUAGGUAUUGCCAUCUCAUUCCAACAACAACAGCGAGCGCUGGGCAGGCUUGGCCUGAGAACACACACACUUAAAGGUUGACCUCAAAUCAGGUAGGACUACCC
rnacentral:rRNA from 1 species